rnacentral:rRNA from 1 species
CUUGGUCAUUUAGAGGAAGUAAAAGUCGUAACAAGGUUUCCGUAGGUGAACCUGCGGAAGGAUCAUUAUCGUAUAACAGAGGUGCCGGGGCUGUCGCUAACUUUUUGUGCACGCCUCGGUGCUCUCUCACAAUCCAUCACACCCUUUGUGCAUCACCGUGUGGAUGCUAUCCUUUUGGUUCAUUCUGAAAGGGAGUGUCUGCGCUUUUACACAGACCCAUUGCAUGUUUAGAAUGUCUUACUAUUUGCAAUAAUAUGCAAUCAAUACAACUUUCAACAACGGAUCUCUUGGCUCUCGCAUCGAUGAAGAACGCAGCGAAAUGCGAUACGUAAUGUGAAUUGCAGAAUUCAGUGAAUCAUCGAAUCUUUGAACGCACCUUGCGCCCCUUGGCAUUCCGAGGGGCACACCCGUUUGAGUGUCGUGACAUCCUCAACCUUUCUUGUUCGUUUCGACCAAGAAAGGCUUGGACUUUGGAGGUUUUCUUUUUUUUGCCGGCCUCCUUUCGAAGCCGGCUCCUCCUAAAUGAAUUAGCAGGGUCUGCUUUGCCGAUCCUUGACGUGAUAAGAUGUUUCUACGUCUCGGAUUUCGCACUGUUACCUUUGGAUCCUGCUUCUAAUCGUCUUGUGAAAGACAAAGCUCAUAAUAAUAAACCUUGACCUCAAAUCGGGUGAGACUACCCGCCGAACUUAAGCAUAUCAAUAAGCGGAGGA